rnacentral:misc_RNA from 1 species
UCUUGGGGUAGACAGGCAUGUGCUGGGAUGGCAUGCCAAGGCAUGUGCUGGGAUGGCAUGCCUUGGCGUGUGCUGGGAUGGCAUGCCAAGGACAAGCAUGUGCUAGGAAGGCAUGCCAAGGCCAAGACAAGGCCAUGGCAAGCACAUGCAUUGCGAGCGAGACGAGAUGGUUACGUUUACCCAAGAGUGCCCAAGGGAGAGGAAAAGGUGUCAAACGCAUGCUGAGCCCCACUUCGGUAGUUUGGCACCCCCAUAGGCAUUCAGGCAAACAAGCCUAUGGGAGGAGUCUGUUGAGCUUGGUUGCCAUGUUGGGUAUUAUUCUAUGGAUGAGAUGAUGGCACAAGGAUGCUUGCUAGGUAACGUUUUGGCACCAGACCGCAAAUGCUACUUCAAGCUUCAGCGGGUGGAAUCUGCCUAUAGGGCGUUGCUUGCUUGCUGUGGAGUUGGGACACGCCCAAUAUCUAUCAUCGACCCAACGAAGUGCUCAACAUGGGUUGCUGAGGGCUAUUUUGGCACAGAUGGUUCACUUGUUUGCUUGGCUUUGAUAAACGUUUAGAUGUCAUGAUGCUUGGGAUCCAAUAAAUUUAUGUGGGAAGCUGAGAGCUGGAACCCAAUGUCAUUCACCAGACGGCUUAGCUUCGUCAGUGUGUAUAAUAUGUCAUUGAACCCCAAUCCUCGAUGCCAACCUGAUUAUGACUUUUGGAUCGCAAUUAUCAUGGCUAUCAAAAACUGAGUAGGAGUCAUGGAAUAAGUGAACAAUUUGUAGCCUUUAUUGCUCUUAGCUUUCGCAUCGCCCGGUGUGUUUUGGGAAUCGCUUUGUUCAUUUGGUUGCCUGCCGUGCCUCUUGGCAUACGGUGGGUGCCACUUGCCGGGUGGUUUUCGGAAACAUCCACCGUAAAGGUGCAUGAGUGGUGUUUGGUUUGUUACGGGUGGUUGGCUCUUUGCUUGUGCAACAACUGCCACCCGACUUACCUCUUCAGAUGUUUGCCUAGGCUUGUAUGGCCUAAGCAGAUUGUGGGUUUCCUGUGUUGCCUACCUACAUCAUGGAAUUGUCCGGAUCGAUCAAAGUUGCUUUCGUCUUGUGUCGUCUUGAUGGCAUAAGAUGAACCAUGAAGCUGUCUCUUUGCACCGCAUCGUUAAUGCAUGCAUUGAUGUUGUGGCCCAUUGAGCAUUGCUUGGUACCUUGGAUACGGAACCUUAUGUGGGCAUGGGUCCUCAGGGAUCCUUUCUGCCCUCGUUUAGCGUUCGCGCUUCUCUUAGAAUGACUGCCCAUCUGGAAUGGGAAGCCAUCCGGAUGGGCAUU